GUUGCCGGUUCACAGGGAAGGCACCGAGGCUCCGAGAGGCCAGCACCUCGCUUCCAGGUGAGGAAACAGCUCUCCGCGCCCAGACGCGCCUGCCCUGAGGUGGUGAGCGAGGACCUGAGCCCAGAUCUGUGUGGCUGGGCGUCCGCAGCUCAUCCCUCCUGUCCCACGGGAACACCCAUCCGAACUGGUGAGCCGCACGAAACCGCCUCGGUGCUUCGUUCCAGGCUCUUCACUCGCAAACCCAGUCAGCGAGUUCUUUAUGGCCACGCGGUGCUAUUGAACGGAUGGCUCCGGGAACCACAGGCUGGCCUGGGAGCCGCCGCACGUGGCUCGGGCUUCCCACACGCUGGCUCCCAAAGGAGGACGGGGACGAUCUAGGAGCCGGGGCCCAGGUGCAGACGUCGGCUGCACCCUUUCGUUUCAGUUUCAGGCUGGCAAAAGGCACCAGGGACCUUGACCUUGAGCUCCUUGGGCAGCCUUGUCUCACCCAGAGCUCGAGGCUCAGCAGCAGCUGUCUCGCCCUCCGUGAGCCCCGUGCAGGCACCAGCAUGCUGGGAGGUUGGCUCUCAGCGCUCGAUUCCCUGCCUGGGCCCUGCCUGCUGCGGGCGGGCGGGCCUCCAGCACCCCAGGCGUCCGUCAGGGGCUAGAAUCCAUCCGGGGCCAGGGGGGUAGAAAUGCAUAGCCGCGGAGCCCAGACCCGGGGUGAAAUCACCACCUUUUAAACGCAGGCGAGCAGAGCUGCAGAGCGCAGAUACCCGGGCCUGGUGACGGCGACGAGGGCCACACCCUGGAAAACCACAGAAGUCCCGGCCGCCCCCGCUUUCACUGCUCAGACCUGUGGGAAACUUGUCAGACACACGCCGCGCGGGGAGGGGCCGCGGCAUCCCAGGCCCCGGCUGGCCUGGCAGGGUCCUUGCCGGGAAUCGUCUGUUUUCGGAAAGCCUGGCCCGGCCACAGCCAGCCCGGCCCGCAGCGCACGGCGGCCGCGGUUUUUUAGAAGGGCUUUGGGAGACUUUCGAAAGGUGCCCCGGGGUGGGGAAGUGAAAGGAGGGGGCCGGUUAGAAACUGCUUCUUUAUUUCUGGCCUCGCCUGAGCGGCUGCCUGACGGUUACUGCGCGGGUUCUGCUGAGUCAGAAGCAUCCCCCAGCUGCUCACCGGAAACACAGCUGUUGGGCGAAAAUAACCACAGAGCAGAGCAUCGGAGCAUCGUGCACCUUCCAGAAAAGAGGGCAGAAAACCUCAAAACAAAAGAGAAAAAUACAAAACAAGAGGCGCUGUCGAGAUCCCACGGCGGCCGGCCGGCUCCCUGAGCCAAGCCCACGGCUCUCCUCCUCGCCCACAGCGGGAGAAGGAACGCAUGGCACGCCAACUGCUUCUCCCCUGCUCCCUGCCCCAGGCCCUUCACCCCCGGACCUGCAGAUGUGACCUCAUCCGGAAAAGGGGUCUUUGCAGGCGUAAUGAACCUAAGGAGCUCAAAAUGAGGUGCAUUACCUGGUGGGCCCCGCAUCCAAAGACAGGUGUCCUUGUAAGAGGGAGGCAGGGGAUGGGACCCACAGAGGGAAAGACCAGGGGGAGACGGAGGCAGGCAUUGGAGUUACGCAUUACAAGCCAAGGAACACCAAGGAGCUGUCAUGGCAGCCAGAGAAAAUGGCUAGAGCCACCCGUGCCUUCCAUUGGCCGGGACUCUCCCACCCACCUCCCCCGCCACUCUCUCCCCUCGUCCAGUGUGGAAACAUUCACAGCGUUUUGUCACAAGUUGUCUGACAUGGGCAUUGAGGUCAGGAGGUAGGAGGGGUGCCUGGAGGACUCCAGGGACUAAGGCAGCCGUGGGCAAACUACGGCCCGCGGGCCGGAUUCGGCCCGUUUGAAAUGAAUAAAACUAAAAAAAAAAAA